GGAAGACAUGUCACGGAAGAUACGUCAUCUGGUUGCGCGUGGUCUUCUUCACUUUCGCUUGCUGCCGGGAGAGGAGUGGGUGUGCUUUCCAAGCCAGGUGCCUUCAUCAAGGAUUAUAAAAACCCAUUUGAACUGGGAUGGGACUCUAUUUAGCCUCAAGCACAUGAACCAUGAGCACUACAAAAGAAGAACAAAGAGUUGCUAUAGUGGCCGUGAUGCAACUAGAAUACAUCCAAGGGAUUAAACAUGGCUUCAAAGAUCUAGAAGACUUACUCCCAGCAGAUGAGGAAUUUAGCGGUUACAGAACAUAGCAUGGAACUCUCACAGAGAAGACACAACUGGCAGUGCAAUGGACAGAGUCAGCAUCUGUGACAGAGCAUAAAUUCCUGGAAUAUUGAGAGUAAAACUGAAAGAAGAAUCCAUUACAAGAUGGGAUGAGAAAAGUUUGGUCCUUUGAGGUUUAGCUUCGAAGUUUGAAUACAAUAAAGAUAACGAAGAAAAAGACAAAUGUAGUUGUGUCAACAGCCUGAGAGAAGGAUUCAGAAUAUGAUCCUUUUCUCUCUCAGAUAAUUUGAAAUAAUAAAGCCUAUUUACUCUGGAAACUGACUGUACUCAGGGACAGGAGCAGUAAAAAAUGAAGAACUACAGUUUUGAAUGCUUCCUAACACCAUUUGUACAGUGUGUCAUGUUGUUCUAUGAGUUCUGUUCAUCUGUGAUGUAGAGGAUCUCAUCUCAUCAAAGCUUUACAAGUACUGCAAGUUUGACAUAUGGAAGAAUUACCAACACGCAUUUCAAAGGUUGAUUUUCCAGGAUAUACAUAAACUACUAUGGA
rnacentral:lncRNA from 1 species